UAUGCGCGAACACGCAUAAACAGUGAUGGCUGUGUGGAGGAGUAAUAGAAUGUUGUCUGUACACGUUUGUCGAACGUUGUAUCGACGCAGGCCUUCUCGCUGGCGUGUGGACGAACCUGGUGACGUUUUAGAACCUGCAGAUUCCCUUCCCUCCCGCGCGGUUAAGCAGACGACACUGAACAUACGAGCUAUCUCCCAGCAAGAUGCACUGUUCUUUCUUCUCCAAGCUCAACGGUUCUUCGAGAUAGUCAUAAAACGGCUCACAGGUCAACAUUGUUCAAGUCGAAUGAGCUAGGAUUUAUUAAUAAAUCCCAUAAUACAGG